AACAGAUCCAUCCGAAACGGCACCAAGUCCUUGCAAGACGCUCACAAGGUUUCAACAGUGUUCGAUCUUUUACUUCCAAAUUUCGUUUUCACACCUUCGAGGGAGCUUAAAAAACCUUCAAAUUUCAUGCUGAAAAUCCAGAUUAGACGUUCAUCCCAGUCUGGUGCGCACGGAAACGAGGAUGACGAAGUCAAAUCCAAUGCCAAGCGAACCAGAUCCAUGUACAAAAUCCAGGUCGAUGUUCCAUUCAAAUGCGGGCUGUUCAGCAACAUUGAAUGCGUCAGCAUACGAAACAAAUGAACGCUCCCAUUCCGCCAUCUUCCUCUCAUUCAAAAGCUUCGAAGCAGAUCGAGAACGAACGAAAAGGAAUCAGAUUCACACGUCGACCCCUCAUUCUCAUCUCAAUAUUCGCCAUCUCUUUCGCAAACGAAGCCUCACUUCGAUUUCUUGUUAACGUGCAUAAAUAAUGAACAAGCAGGAGAAGAAUAGACCUACCAAAACAGAGCUCCGAUGCGGGGGCUACCGGUGACAGUAGAGAGAUAAUCGCGUGAGAGGGAAUUUCUCUGGUUUAUUCGAUCUCAGGGAAGAUCAAAACUGCAGUGGAGAAGGUUUCUGUUUGUGUGGGAAGAAAUGAUGAAAAAAAACUCUCAUUUCAAUCUCAAUGAGUCAUUUUUAUAGCUUUUUAAGAUUCUGUUAUGAAAUUCAGAUGAAAUUUAAUGGAAAUUCAGAUUGAAAGUUUAGUUAGUUAGAAAUUCAGAAGUUAGUUGGAGUGGAAUUUAAAAUGAAAUGAAAAUGAAUUUAGUGAAAUUAUUAUUGAAAUGAAAUUAUGAAUGAUCUGUUAGCGUCUUCCAAAUGACUCCCCUGCCAAACACCCUCCUGCUAUAUUAUCAACUAGGAAACAACUGUUGUAAUUGGAAACAAAAAUUCUGUUAGUUUUUCUUUUGGUUAUUGAUAUGCUACCUGUUCUUUCUUCAAGUUCUGCAGGUGGAUAGAUUAAUAGGGCCUUGCUAAGUGGACUGAAACGCAUCACCUAUCGUAUUGAAGGCUUGGACAGGAUGGUUGCUACGACGCUUCUACUGUCAACAAAUGGUGUUGGAUGUGCGGUGUCAAUGCAACAUGCUAUAAAGUGUGGUAGGCUAACCGUGCGGCAAGGAUCCGUGGUGAUCUCAACGUCUCUAGGUGUCUAGUUUCUUGUAGACUGAUCUGAAUCCGACUUGGCAGCGCUGUCUGCUUGUUAUGUCAUGGUUUCAAGGCAAGGUUUUAAGACUUGGCAAAUGACAAGUGAGCAAACUUGUGCAAAUAAUGGUGUAACUUGUUCAUGAAGAAAAAUGGUGGUAGAAUCACAUGGAAAUGAAAGAAUAAAGUUGUAAUGUAGUAUUAGGGUUUUAUGUCAUGUAAAAAUAGGUUGGUUGACUUUGGUCAACUGGUUGACCAAAAAGUCAACAGUUGACCCUAACGUCAACAUUUGCAAAAUGUAAUUUUUUUAUUUCUUUUUGUAACCAAACAAAGUAUUCCUUGAUAAAUGAAUGAAAAACCAAUGUUUGAAUGAAA